rnacentral:rRNA from 1 species
UGGGGAAUAUUGCACAAUGGGGGAAACCCUGAUGCAGCGACGCCGCGUGAGCGAGGAAGUAUUUCGGUAUGUAAAGCUCUGUCAGCAGGGAAGAAGAAUGACGGUACCUGAAGAAGAAGCACCGGCUAAAUACGUGCCAGCAGCCGCGGUAAUACGUAUGGUGCAAGCGUUAUCCGGAUUUACUGGGUGUAAAGGGAGCGCAGGCGGUCCUGCAAGUCUGGUGUGAAAGCCCGGGGCUCAACCCCGGUACUGCACUGGAAACUGCAGGACUGGAGUGUCGGAGGGGUAAGCGGAAUUCCUGGUGUAGCGGUGAAAUGCGUAGAUAUCAGGAGGAACACCGGUGGCGAAGGCGGCUUACUGGACGAUGACUGACGCUGAGGCUCGAAAGCGUGGGGAGCAAACAGG